ensembl:lncRNA novel transcript
AUGCGCAGUGCGGCCGUCCCUAGAGGCGGGUUAACGGCCGCGGACCUGGCAGUUCUCAGGCUUCUCCAAGGGAGAAGCCCCCUUGCCAGGGUCUCGAUUUCCCGCCAACCAACAAAGGUUCAUUUGCCUCUUAUGGCCUGCGCGGGAGGGUUGCCAUGCUGUCACAAAUCCUCCUCUGCAUCCCAGGAGUGCCGCUUGGUCCUCGGGCUCGCAGCGUGGCCCACACCUGGGUCGGGCCUCUCACGGGGACGCUCCCGCCACUGUGAUAAAGAGGAGAAAACGUCACAGGGGAAGGGCCUGACCCUGCUGCAUCCAGUAAGGAAACAGCCACAGGGAAGGGACCCCGUAAGCCACUUUGGGAGCCACAUCCACCACUUCUCUGACCCCACGCAGGCUGCUUCCCAGGCCUCAUGGUACUAGUGUGGACCUCCUGGCUGUGAUUAAUGCAGUUUUUUAGAUUAAGUACUGCACGACUACUCGCUUCUGAAACUGUCAUAAGAAACUGCCUCAGCUCCCUGCAGGGUGGACACACAAGAGCAGAAUCUCCGUGGGACAUCUCUUUGGAGCAUCAAUAUUACUACAGUAUUUGGAAGACACAAAUUUAAAUAAUUUCUAAGGUAAAGAAUGGAACAUUUAAGACAAGGCUGGAAAGUCAUCUGCCUUUAAUAACUCAUCUGUGCCUCACAUGUCAGACUUUCUCCAAGAAAAAAACUAAGGAGAACUUAUUUCCAUUCUUAUAAGUAGUAAAAAUAAUAAAUCAUAUCAAGUCAAUUGAAA